rnacentral:rRNA from 1 species
UACGUAGGGUGCGAGCGUUAAUCGGAAUUACUGGGCGUAAAGCGUGCGCAGGCGGUUCUCCAAGUCCGUUGUGAAAGCCCCGGGCUUAACCUGGGAAUGGCCGUCGAAACUGGCGAACUGGAGUGUGGCAGAGGGGGGUGGAAUUCCGCGUGUAGCAGUGAAAUGCGUAGAGAUGCGGAGGAACACCGAUGGCGAAGGCAGCCCCCUGGGCUGACACUGACGCUCAGGCACGAAAGCGUGGGGAGCAAACAGG